rnacentral:rRNA from 1 species
UUAAAUUGAAGAGUUUGAUCAUGGCUCAGAUUGAAUGCUGGCGGCAGGCCUAACACAUGCAAGUCGAACGGUA